rnacentral:rRNA from 1 species
GAGUUUGAUCGUGGCUCAGAACGAACGCUGGCGGCGUGGAUAAGACAUGCAAGUCGGACGAGACUUUCUCUGGUAGCAAUACCGGAGGAAGUUUAGUGGCGAACGGGUGCGUAACACGUGGGCAAUCUGCCGGGAAGUGGGGGAUAGCUCGCCGAAAGGCGAAUUAAUACCGCAUGUGAUCAGGGGGGACAUCCUCUCGACAUCAAAGGUGGCGCAAGCUACCGCUUCUUGAUGAGCCCGCGGCCUAUCAGCUAGUUGGUGAGGUAACGGCCCACCAAGGCUUUGACGGGUAGCUGGUCUGAGAGGACGACCAGCCACACUGGAACUGAGACACGGUCCAGACACCUACGGGUGGCAGCAGUCGAGAAUUUUUCUCAAUGGGGGAAACCCUGAAGGAGCGACGCCGCGUGGAGGAUGAAGGCUUUCGGGUUGUAACUCCUGUCAUUUGGAACAAUGGUUACGCGUUAACUGCGCGUGAUUUGAUAGUACCAGAAGAGGAAGAGACGGCUAACUCUGUGCCA